AGUGAACGCUGGCGGUAGGCCUAACACAUGCCAGUCGAGCGGCAGCGCGGGGGCAACCCUGGCGGCGAGCGGCGGACGGGUGAGGAAUUCGUCGGAAUCUGCCUUUUUGUGGGGGAUAACGUAGGGAAACUUACGCUAAUACCGCAUACGUCCUACGGGAGAAAGUGGGGGACCGCAAGGCCUCACGCAGAAAGAUGAGCCGACGACCGAUUAGCUAGUUGGUGGGGUAAAGGCCCACCAAGGCGACGAUCGGUAGCUGGUCUGAGAGGAUGAUCAGCCACACUGGGACUGAGACACGGCCCAGACUCCUACGGGAGGCAGCAGUGGGGAAUAUUGGACAAUGGGCGCAAGCCUGAUCCAGCCAUGCCGCGUGUGUGAAGAAGGCCUUCGGGUUGUAAAGCACUUUUGUCCGGAAAGAAAUCCCUGGAGCUAAUACCUUCGGGGGAUGACGGUACCGGAAGAAUAAGCACCGGCUAACUUCGUG
rnacentral:rRNA from 1 species